AAUGGUGGUGUGAGGGAAUGGUGUGGUGAGGUGAGAAUGGAAUACAGAUGGAAGUGGAACGCAUGGGGGAUCGACAGAGAGACCCCAAGUGGGACCGGGCAGGAGACACCUCCCUCAUCACAUAUCCCAGAGAUGGGAAAUCUGUUGCACACACAAAGGCACAAACGCAGAGUAGGGGAGGACAGCACCUGGGAACAAUGAAACCUGGGGGAGGGGCAACAUCUUCAUCGAGAGGAAGUGGUUGAGGCAGGUACAUCAACAACAUGUAAAAGACGGACAGGUACACGGAUAGGAAAGGUUUAGAGGGAUACGGAGAGGUACACGGAUAGGAAAGGUUUAGAGGGAUACGGACAGGUACACGGAUAGGAAAUGUUUAGAGGGAUACGGACAGGUACACGGAUAGGAAAGGUUUAGAGGGAUACGGACAGGUACACGGAUAGGAAAGGUUUAGAGGGAUACGGACAGGUACACGGAUAGGAACGGUUUAGAGGGAUAUGGACAGGUACACGGAUAGGAAAUGUUUAGAGGGAUAUGGACAGGUACAUGGAGAGGAACGGUUUAGAGGGAUAUGGACAGGUACACGGAUAGGAAAUGUUUAGAGGGAUACGGACAGGUACACGGAUAGGAAAGGUUUAGAGGGAAACGGACAGGUACACGGAUAGGAAAGGUUUAGAGGGAAACGGACAGGUACACGGAUAGGAAAGGUGUAGAGGGAUACGGACAGGUACACGGAUAGGAAAUGUUUAGAGGGAUACGGACAGGUACACGCAUAGGAAAGGUUUAGAGGGAAACGGACAGGUACACGGAUAGGAAAGGUUUAGAGGGAAACGGACAGGUACACGGAUAGGAAAGGUGUAGAGGGAUACGGACAGGUACACGGAUAGGAAAUGUUUAGAGGGAUACGGAGAGGCACAUAGAUAGGAAAGGUUUAGAGAGAUACGGACAGGUACACGGAUAGGAAAGGUUUAGAGGGAAACGGACAGGUACACGGAUAGGAAAGGUUUAGAGGGAAACGGACAGGUACACGGAUAGGAAAGGUGUAGAGGGAUACGGACAGGUACACGGAUAGGAAAUGUUUAGAGGGAUACGGACAGGUACACGCAUAGGAAAGGUUUAGAGGGAAACGGACAGGUACACGGAUAGGAAAGGUUUAGAGGGAAACGGACAGGUACACGGAUAGGAAAGGUGUAGAGGGAUACGGACAGGUACACGGAUAGGAAAUGUUUAGAGGGAUACGGAGAGGCACAUAGAUAGGAAAGGUUUAGAGAGAUACGGACAGGUACACGGAUAGGAAAGGUUUAGAGGGAAACGGACAGGUACACGGAUAGGAAAGGUUUAGAGGGAAACGGACAGGUACACGGAUAGGAAAGGUGUAGAGGGAUACGGACAGGUACACGGAUAGGAAAUGUUUAGAGGGAUACGGAGAGGCACAUAGAUAGGAAAGGUUUAGAGAGAUACGGACAGGUACACGGAUAGGAAAGGUAUAGAGGGAUACGGACAGGUACACGGAUAGGAAAUGUUCAGAGGGAUAUGGACAGUUACACGGAUAGGAAAGGUUUAGAGGGAUACGGACAGGUACACGGAUAGGAAAUGUUUAGAGGGAUAUGGACAGGUACAUGGAUAGGAAAUGUUUAGAGGGAUAUGGACAGGUACAUGAAUAGGAAAUGUUUAGAGGGAUACGGACAGGUACAUGGAUAGGAAAGGUUUAGAGGGAUAUGGACAGGUACACGGAUAGGAAAGUUUCAGAGGGAUAUGGACAGGUACAUGGAUAGGAAAGGUUUAGAGGGAUGCGGACAGGUACACGGAUAGGAAAUGUUUAGAGGGAUAUGGACAGGUACAUGGAUAGGAAAGGUUUAGAGGGAUAUGGACAGGUACACGGAUAGGAAAUGUUUAGAGGGAUAUGGACAGGUACACAGAUAGGAAAGUUUCAGAGGGAUACGGACAGGUAAACGGAUAGGAAAGGUUUAGAGGGAUACGGACAGGGACACAGAUAGGAAAAGUUUAGAGGGAUACGGACAGGUACACGGAUAGGAAAGGUUUAGAGGGAUACGGACAGGCACACGGAUAGGAAAGGUUUAGAGGGAUUCGGACAGGUACAUAGAUAGGAAAGGUUUAGAGGGAUACGGACAGGUACACGGAUAGGAAUGGUUUAGAGGGAUAUGGACAGGUACACGGAUAGGAAAUGUUUAGAGGGAUAUGGACAGGUACACGAAUAGGAACGGUUUAGAGGGAUAUGGACAGGUACACGGAUAGGAAAGGUUCAGAGGGAUACGAACAGGUACAUGGAUAGGAAAGGUUUAGAGGGAUACAGACAGGUACAUGGAUAGGAAAGGAUUAGAGGGAUAUGGACAGGUACAUGGAUAGGAAAGGUUUAGAGGGAUACGGACAGGUACACGGAUAUGAAAUGUUUAGAGGGAUAUGGACAGGUACAUGGAUAGGAAAGGUUUAGAGGGAUACGGACAGGUACAUGGAUAGGAAAGGUUUAGAGGGAUACGGACAGGUACACGGAUAGGAAAUGUUUAGAGGGAUAUGGACAGGUACAUGGAUAGGAAAGGAUUAGAGGGAUACGGACAGGUAGACGGAUAGGAAAUGUUUAGAGGGAUAUGAACAGGUACAUGGAUAGGAAAGGUUUAGAGGGAUACGGACAGGUACAUGGAUAGGAAAGGUUUAGAGGGAUACAGACAGGUACAUGGAUAGGAAAGGAUUAGAGGGAUAUGGACAGGUACAUGGAUAGGAAAGGUUUAGAGGGAUACGGACAGGUACACGGAUAUGAAAUGUUUAGAGGGAUACGGAGAGGUACACGGAUAGGAAAGGUUUAGAGGGAUACGGACAGGUACACGGAUAGGAAAUGUUUAGAGGGAUACGGACAGGUACACGGAUAGGAAAGGUUUAGAGGGAUACGGACAGGUACACGGAUAGGAAAGGUUUAGAGGGAUACGGACAGGUACACGGAUAGGAAAGGUUCAGAGGGAUAUGAACAGGUACAUGGAUAGGAAAGGUUUAGAGGGAUACGGACAGGUACAUGGAUAGGAAAGGUUUAGAGGGAUACAGACAGGUACAUGGAUAGGAAAGGAUUAGAGGGAUAUGGACAGGCACAUGGAUA